UACGUAGGGGGCAAGCGUUGUCCGGAAUCAUUGGGCGUAAAGCGCGUGUUGGCGGCUUGGUAAGUCCGCUCUGAAAGCCCGGGGCUCAACCCCGGGAGGCGGGUGGAUACUGUCAAGCUCGAGUCCGGAAGAGGCGAGUGGAAUUCCUGGUGUAGCGGUGGAAUGCGCAGAUAUCAGGAGGAACACCAAUAGCGAAGGCAGCUCGCUGGGACGUUACUGACACUGAGGCGCGAAAGCGUGGGGAGCGAACAGG
rnacentral:rRNA from 1 species